GAUCAUGGCUUAGGACGAACGCUGGCGGCGUGCUUAACACAUGCAAGUCGAACGAGACGAUUGAAAGCUUGCUUUUGAAAGUCGAGUGGCAAACGGGUGAGUAACGCGUAGACAACCUGCCGCAAAGAUGGGGACAACAGUCCGAAAGGACUGCUAAUACCGAAUGUUGUAUCUCCUCCGCAUGGAAGAGAUAUUAAAGAUGGCCUCUACUUGUAAGCUAUCGCUUUGCGAUGGGUCUGCGUCUGAUUAGCUAGUUGGUGGGGCAACGGCCUACCAAGGCGACGAUCAGUAGCCGGACUGAGAGGUUGACCGGCCACAUUGGGACUGAGAUACGGCCCAGACUCCUACGGGAGGCAGCAGUGGGGAAUAUUGGGCAAUGGACGCAAGUCUGACCCAGCAACGCCGCGUGAAGGAAGAAGGCUUUCGGGUUGUAAACUUCUUUUGUCAGGGAAGAGCAGAAGACGGUACCUGACGAAUAAGCCACGGCUAACUACGUG
rnacentral:rRNA from 1 species